rnacentral:rRNA from 1 species
UACGUAGGGUGCAAGCGUUAAUCGGAAUCACUGGGCGUAAAGCGUGCGCAGGCGGUUAUGCAAGACAGAUGUGAAGUCCCCGGGCUCAACCUGGGAACUGCAUUUGUGACUGCAUGGCUAGAGUACGGUAGAGGGGGAUGGAAUUCCGCGUGUAGCAGUGAAAUGCGUAGAUAUGCGGAGGAACACCGAUGGCGAAGGCAAUCCCCUGGACCUGUACUGACGCUCAUGCACGAAAGCGUGGGGAGCAAACAGG